rnacentral:rRNA from 1 species
UACAGAGGUCUCAAGCGUUGUUCGGAUUCAUUGGGCGUAAAGGGUGCGUAGGCGGCGCGGUAAGUCGGGUGUGAAAUCUCGGAGCUUAACUCCGAAACUGCAUUCGAUACUGCCGUGCUUGAGGACUGGAGAGGAGACGUGGAAUUUACGGUGUAGCGGUGAAAUGCGUAGAUAUCGUAAGGAAGACCAGUGGCGAAGGCGGG